CGCACAACCCACCAUAUGCGCAGGAGAGAACUACUCCUAUAAAUUCAGAUGCGGCACAAUUUGUGCCUCCGUUACCUGAGUCCCAUCCUACCGUUUGCAUCGCUCUGCUCUCAACGCCGUCUUCUAAUCUCUCCCCAUUGCAAUUCAUCUUUGAAAAAUGGCAGCAAAGUACAUUUUAGGAUCUAUUGUGGGGACCUUUGGGCUUGCGUAUGUUUUCGACACUAUGAUAUCUGACAAAAAGAUAUUUGGAGGUAGUACUCCCUGGUACCGUUUCAAACAAAAAAUGGGGGGAAGAAACUGACAAGAAGUUCCAGGCUUGGCCACGAACUGCAGGACCUCCGGUCGUGAUGAACCCCAUUAGUCGCCAGAAUUUUAUUGUCAAAUCAGGUUUGGAGUAGUGAAAUGUUUUGUCUUAGACUCAUAGCUUGAGCUGUUAUUGUUUCUGCUUUGGUGGAAGAUGCAUUAAACUCCCACAGGCAUUUUUUUUGAAGAAAUUCCGUUCAGUUACGGGUUCUUUUGCAUUUGAAAUAAGAAUUGCGCACUUAUGCAAAAUGAAAGGUAUAGUAUACUGAUUGCAUGA